rnacentral:rRNA from 1 species
AGCGAACGCUGGCGGCAGGCUUAACACAUGCAAGUCGAGCGGGCAUCUUCGGAUGUCAGCGGCAGACGGGUGCGUAACACGUGGGAACGUACCCUUCGGUUCGGAACAACUCUGGGAAACUGGAGCUAAUACCGGAUACGCCCUUAUGGGGAAAGGUUUACUGCCGAAGGAUCGGCCCGCGUCUGAUUAGCUAGUUGGUGGGGUAACGGCCUACCAAGGCGACGAUCAGUAGCUGGUCUGAGAGGAUGAUCAGCCACACUGGGACUGAGACACGGCCCAGACUCCUACGGGAGGCAGCAGUGGGGAAUAUUGGACAAUGGGCGCAAGCCUGAUCCAGCCAUGCCGCGUGAGUGAUGAAGGCCUUAGGGUUGUAAAGCUCUUUUGUCCGGGACGAUAAUGACGGUACCGGAAGAAUAAGCCCCGGCUAACUUCGUG